UAUGGUAUAGACUAAUGGGUAAGUCACAGAUUUUUAGUAUCUGUAUUUGAGUGUUCGAGUCACUCUAACAUAA